ACUGAACGCUGGCGGCAGGCCUAACACAUGCAAGUCGAGCGGAUGAAGGGAGCUUGCUCCUGGAUUCAGCGGCGGACGGGUGAGUAAUGCCUAGGAAUCUGCCUGGUAGUGGGGGAUAACGUCCGGAAACGGGCGCUAAUACCGCAUACGUCCUGAGGGAGAAAGUGGGGGAUCUUCGGACCUCACGCUAUCAGAUGAGCCUAGGUCGGAUUAGCUAGUUGGUGGGGUAAAGGCCUACCAAGGCGACGAUCCGUAACUGGUCUGAGAGGAUGAUCAGUCACACUGGAACUGAGACACGGUCCAGACUCCUACGGGAGGCAGCAGUGGGGAAUAUUGGACAAUGGGCGAAAGCCUGAUCCAGCCAUGCCGCGUGUGUGAAGAAGGUCCUCGGAUUGUAAAGCACUUUAAGUUGGGAGGAAGGGCAGUAAGUUAAUACCUUGCUGUUUUGACGUUACCAACAGAAUAAGCACCGGCUAACUUCGUG
rnacentral:rRNA from 1 species